CCUCUCCCGUGCUUGUGUUUGUGCUUCCCUCUUCCUCGUCUCUCCCUCGCAGUGCACAAGUCGGCGCCGACAGGGACAGCGGCGGCGGCCAGCAGCACCACGACGACAACUCGAGCAGCCCGGAAGCCGGCUUCAACUCCUCCGCGGCGACCGCGGGCGUGGGGAGCGUCGGCAGCAGGCUUGACAGCAGCAUCGUCGCGCCGCCGCCGGAUUGGUGCAUAUUAAACUGAUUGGUUGCUACGUCAAUCGAGACCUUGCUUCGUUGUUCGAGUGUUCAUCAUCAUCUGACCAAAGUUUGAAUCCUCAGGGACCCCAUCGAAUACAUCUUGCAGAUGCAUCAGCUACUCGAGUACAUCCCACGCAUGCAGCAGCUCGAGUGCCAGCUACUCACCGAGAUAGCCGACCUGCGGCUUGGGGCGGCCUCGCAGGUGGCCGGUGGGGCGCGCGUGCCUGCGUGGGCGUGGUGGCCGGCGGGCCCGGCCUCCCGCGGCUUGCUGGGUCGACGGCGCAGGUGGCCUCCUUGUCGAGCUCGUCGAGGAGGAGUUCAAGCUCGUCAUCCUCGACUUCGGGGAAGCACUCGAGCAUUCGAGGAAGAGCCGAAGAGGUCGAGCGCGUCAUCCUCGGCGGGCGCGGGCGGACGCGCAGGCGGCGGGCGCGCGCGGCCACCGGCGGCGGCGCGCGGCGGCAUGCGGGCCGACUUUUCUUUUAGUUUUUUAUUCGGUUUGUAGGGGCGGGUGGUCCCCCACCCUUACAAAUCCAUUUCUAGAAACGGACAGCAGUGUUACCCCCUCCUGAAAAUAAAUUUAUAGAAGCCUCUCCUAAAAAUAGAUUUAUAGAAGCGGGUGAGGGGGUGACCCGUCCCUAUAAAUAUAUUUUUAGGAGCAGAUAGCGUACUCGUUCUUGCAAACAACUAUUUUUAGCUGUGAAAAACAGAGGUGGAUGAGACAUCCGCCCCUAAAAAUGCCUUUUUAACUGCUCCUACAAAUUGUUUAUGUAGUAGUGUUUUUUUGCCUGAUUAAUAAGAAUGUAUGAUAUUUAUUAAUGUUAUGUUACCUCUAAUAUAAUGUAGGUGAUCGAUUAUUUUAAAUGGCUUACUGAGGUACUACAAUGCCUAGAUGAUAUACAUCUUCUGGUGGUAACCACAGAACGCCUACAAUUCAAAAAAUGACAAUCUCUUUUGAGGUAUCAUUAAGAUAAGAUCCAGGUAUCAUGAUGCCAAUAGUGGCUAGUGGGAAAGAAUAACUAAGUUCAGAUGACUUAUGAAAGAACUGUCAUAAAAAUAUGUCUUUUGGAACUUGAGAGCUAUGGUUAUCUGAUUUCAGAUUUGUCAUGAUUUAAAAUUCAAGCACUUCGACGGAAUCAACAUGAUAUUGUUAGUCUCUGUGAGAGCCUUUCAUGAGAAAAUCUACAUGAUAUAGAUAUAUUUGGUAAUACCUUUGCGGCGAUGAGUUUAGAAGAAAUUUUAUGUCAAGUCGUGAAGUAGUUGGGUUAUUAUUCGACUGAGGAGAGACCAGUAUAUACAAAUGAAGGUCUUUACCAGGGUUCUUUUCAAUUUCGAACCACGCCAGAUCCUACCGCAGAACCAAUGUUCACCAUCUACGGCAAAACACUUCCUCGUAGAAGUGAAGCAAAGGACAGCACAUUUAUCCUUGCAUUGAUUUUCAUUGUCGAUGCCCUCGGAUACAAAAUUGGCGAUGUUAAGUAUGUUGACUACCUCUUGUUUCGAAAUAAUAUUUGUUAGAUGAUGUAACGUAGGCAUGCAAUUGAACAUUUGUUAAAUCUUCUAUAUCUAAGUGUAGUUUGUGAGUUGUGACUAUAUAUUGCACACUAUUCAUGUA